ACUUACGACCACACCGGCCUGAGUACGCCUGAUCUCGUCUGAUCUCGGAAGCUAAGCAGGGUCGGGCCUGGUUAGUACUUGGAUGGGAGACUUCCUGGGAAUACCAGGUGCUGUAAGCU
ensembl:rRNA 5S_rRNA 5S ribosomal RNA